UACACGACCGUACCGCAAACCGACACUGGUGCGCGAGAUGAGUAUUCUAAGGCGCUUGAGAGAACUCAGGAGAAGGAACUCGGCAAAUUGACACCGUAACUUCGGAAGAAGGUGUGCCUUUAGUAGGUGAACCUGUACAAGGGGAGCCCAAUGAGGUUGCAAAAAAUCGGUGGCUGCGACUGUUUAAUAAAAACACAGCACUCUGCAAACACGAAAGUGGACGUAUAGGGUGUGACGCCUGCCCGGUGCUGGAAGAUUAAAUGAUGGGGUGCAAGCUCUUGAUUGAAGUCCCAGUAAACGGCGGCCGUAACAAUAACGGUCCUAAGGUAGCGAAAUUCCUUGUCGGGUAAGUUCCGACCUGCACGAAUGGCGUAACGAUGGCCACACUGUCUCCUCCUGAGACUCAGCGAAGUUGAAAUGUUUGUGAUGAUGCAAUCUCCCCGCGGAAAGACGGAAAGACCCCAUGAACCUUUACUGUAGCUUUGUAUUGGACUUUGAACAGAUCUGUGUAGGAUAGGUGGGAGGCUUUGAAGUGUGGUCGCUAGAUCGCAUGGAGCCAACGUUGAAAUACCACCCUGGUGUGUUUGAGGUUCUAACCUAGGCCCGUAAUCCGGGUCGGGGACAGUGCAUGGUAGGCAGUUUGACUGGGGCGGUCUCCUCCCAAAGCGUAACGGAGGAGUUCGAAGGUACGCUAGGUACGGUCGGACAUCGUGCUAAUAGUGCAAUGGCAUAAGCGUGCUUAACUGCGAGACUGACAAGUCGAGCAGAUGCGAAAGCAGGACAUAGUGAUCCGGUGGUUCUGUAUGGAAGGGCCAUCGCUCAACGGAUAAAAGGUACUCUGGGGAUAACAGGCUGAUACCGCCCAAGAGUUCAUAUCGACGGCGGUGUUUGGCACCUCGAUGUCGGCUCAUCUCAUCCUGGGGCUGUAGCCGGUCCCAAGGGUAUGGCUGUUCGCCAUUUAAAGAGGUACGUGAGCUGGGUUUAAAACGUCGUGAGACAGUUUGGUCCCUAUCUUCCGUGGGCGCUGCAGAUUUGAGGAAGCCUGCUCCUAGUACGAGAGGACCGGAGUGGACACACCUCUGGUGUAUCGGUUGUCACGCCAGUGGCAUUGCCGAGUAGCUAUGUGUGGAAGAGAUAACCGCUGAAAGCAUCUAAGCGGGAAACUCGUUUCAAGAUGAGAUCUGCCGGGGCCUUGAGCCCCCUAAAGAGUCGUUCAAGACCAGGACGUUGAUAGGUCGGGUGUGGAAGCGCAGUAAUGCGUUAAGCUAACCGAUACUAAUUGCUCGUGCGGCUUGACC
rnacentral:rRNA from 1 species